rnacentral:rRNA from 1 species
CCUACGGGAGGCAGCAGUCGAGAAUCAUUCACAAUGGGGGAAACCCUGAUGGUGCGACGCCGCGUGGGGGAAUGAAGGUCUUCGGAUUGUAAACCCCUGUCAUGUGGGAGCAAAUUAAAAAGAUCGUACCACAAUAGGAAGAGACGGCUAACUCUGUGCCAGCAGCCGCGGUAAUACAGAGGUCUCAAGCGUUGUUCGGAAUCACUGGGCGUAAGGCGUGCGUAGGCUGUUUCGUAAGUCGUGUGUGAAAGGCGCGGGCUCAACCCGCGGACGGCACAUGAUACUGCGAGACUAGAGUAAUGGAGGGGGAACCGGAAUGCUCGGUGUAGCAGUGAAAUGCGUAGAUAUCGAGAGGAACACUCGUGGCGAAGGCGGGUUCCUGGACAUUAACUGACGCUGAGGCACGAAGGCCAGGGGAGCGAAAGGGAUUAGAUACCCGAGUAGUC